UACGUAGGGUCCGAGCGUUGUCCGGAAUUAUUGGGCGUAAAGAGCUCGUAGGCGGUUUGUCGCGUCUGCUGUGAAAUCCCGAGGCUCAACCUCGGGUCUGCAGUGGGUACGGGCAGACUGGAGUGCGGUAGGGGAGAAUGGAAUUCCUGGUGUAGCGGUGGAAUGCGCAGAUAUCAGGAGGAACACCGAUGGCGAAGGCAGUUCUCUGGGCCGUAACUGACGCUGAGGAGCGAAGACGUGGGGAGCGAACAGG
rnacentral:rRNA from 1 species